CCAAGGGGUCAAAAAAGAAAUUUGGGACUACGGUAGUUUAAUACUGCAGUCGUGGGGCAGCAUGAAUGUAGCAAUACAUUUGAUGGCGACCGGCAAACGGGUGCGGAACACGUACACAACCUUCCUAUAAGUGGGGAAUAGCCCAGAGAAAUUUGGAUUAAUACCCCGUAACAUAACGAAGUGGCAUCACAUUGUUAUUAUAGCUUCGGCGCUUAUUGAUGGGUGUGCGGCUGAUUAGAUAGUUGGCGGGGUAACGGCCCACCAAGUCUACGAUCAGUAGCUGAUGUGAGAGCAUGAUCAGCCACACGGGCACUGAGACACGGGCCCGACUCCUACGGGGGGCAGCAGUAAGGAAUAUUGGUCAAUGGACGCAAGUCUGAACCAACCAUGCCGCGUGAAGGAUUAAGGUCCUCUGGAUUGUAAACUUCUUUUAUCUGGGACGAAAAAAGGCGAUUCUUCGUCACUUGACGGUACCAGAUGAAUAAGCACCGGCUAACUCCGUGCCAGCAGCCGCGGUAAUACGGAGGGUGCAAGCGUUAUCCGGAUUCACUGGGUUUAAAGGGUGCGUAGGCGGGCAGGUAAGUCAGUGGUGAAAUCCUGGAGCUUAACUCCAGAACUGCCAUUGAUACUAUCUGUCUUGAAUAUUGUGGAGGUAAGCGGAAUAUGUCAUGUAGCGGUGAAAUGCUUAGAUAUGACAUAGAACACCUAUUGCGAAGGCAGCUUACUACGCAUAUAUUGACCGCUGAGGCACGAAAGCGUGGGG
rnacentral:rRNA from 1 species